UCCGGCUUAUCACCGGCAGUCCCUCUAGAGUGCCCAACUAAAUGAUGGCAACUAAAGACAAGGGUUGCGCUCGUUGCGGGACUUAACCCAACAUGUCACCACGCGAGCUGACGACAGCCAUGCAGCACCUGUCUUCCUGCUGUAUUGCUACAGACACCGUAUCUCUACGGCUAGCAGGAGAUGUCAAAUCCAGGUAAGGUUCUUCGCGUUGCUUCGAAUUAAACCACAUGAUCCACCGCUUGUGCGGGCCCCCGUCAAUUCCUUUGAGUUUUAGUCUUGCGACCGUACUUCCCAGGCGGGGUACUUAUUGCGUUAGCGCCGGUUCAGCAGGGGUCAAGACCCACCAAACCUAGUACCCAUCGUUUACAGCGUGGACUAC
rnacentral:misc_RNA from 1 species